rnacentral:tRNA from 1 species
UCCUCCUUAGCUCAGUUGGUAGAGCGCGUCACUUGUAUGUUAACUACUAUGACGAGGUCAGUCGUUCAAGUCGGCUAGGCGGAA